rnacentral:rRNA from 1 species
UUCCCAACUUCGGUUAUAAGAUCCCUCAAAGAUGAUGAGGUUAAUAGGUUCGAGGUGGAAGCAUGGUGACAUGUGGAGCUGACGAAUACUAAUCGAUCGAAGACUUAAUCAAA